GCCUGGGUGGCUUAGUCGGUUAAGCGCCUGACUUCGGCUCAGGUCAUGAUCUCUCGGUUUGUGAGUUCGAGCCCCACAUCUGUGCU
rfam:Felis catus isolate Cinnamon breed Abyssinian chromosome A1, whole genome shotgun sequence.